GCAGUAGAUAGGCAGCUCAUCUAUCCAAAGGUUAUGGACAAAUAUUUCCCUAGAUCAAAGGUAGAGGAUGUAUUACUGGAGGAUCCUGAUAGCAUUAGCAUUGGCAAUUUGAAAAUUAUUAUUCAUGAAAAGUUUGGAGCUAGUUCCUAUUGAAGCACAUAAGCUAAUAUUUAAAGGUACCUUCUGCCACAGGAACUCUUAUGAGAGGAAAGAGAAAGGCACUAGUGGUACACGUUAUUAUUAAUGGUACACUAACUGAUAUAUCAACAAAUUUAAUCAUUAUUAUUUAAUCAUUAAUGUGAUAUAUUAACACAUUCAAUCAUUAAUGGUACUACCUGAUAAGUUAACUGAUAG